AGAGUUUGAUCAUGGCUCAGAACAAACGCUGGCGGCGUGCCUAACACAUGCAAGUCGUACGAGAAAGGGUCCUUCGGGACCUGAGUAAAGUGGCGCACGGGUGAGUAACGCGUGGAUAAUCUGCCCUUCAGUUUGGAAUAACUCAUCGAAAGGUGGGCUAAUACCGAAUGAUACUGUGAGACUUUGGUCGAGCAGUCAAAGAGAGCCUCUGCUUGCAAGCCCUCGCUGAAGGAUGAGUCCGCGUACCAUUAGCUAGUUGGCAGGGUAACGGCCUACCAAGGCGACGAUGGUUAGCUGGUCUGAGAGGAUGAUCAGCCACACUGGAACUGAGACACGGUCCAGACUCCUACGGGAGGCAGCAGUGAGGAAUCUUGCGCAAUGGGGGAAACCCUGACGCAGCAACGCCGCGUGAGUGAGGAAGGUCUUCGGAUCGUAAAGCUCUGUCAGAUGGAAAGAACCGCAUAGGGAUAAACAGUUCCUAUGUCUGACGGUACCAUCAGAGGAAGCACCGGCUAACUCCGUGCCAGCAGCCGCGGUAAUACGGGGGGUGCAAGCGUUGUUCGGAAUUAUUGGGCGUAAAGAGCGUGUAGGCGGCCGAAUGUGUCAGAUGUGAAAGCCCUGGGCUCAACCCAGGAAGUGCAUUUGAAACUGUUCGGCUGGAGUAGGGGAGAGGGAAGUGGAAUUCCUGGUGUAGAGGUGAAAUUCGUAGAUAUCAGGAGGAACACCGGUGGCGAAGGCGACUUCCUGGCCCUAUACUGACGCUGAGACGCGAGAGCGUGGGUAGCAAACAGGAUUAGAUACCCUGGUAGUCCACGCCGUAAACGAUGUUCACUAGGUGUUGGGGGUAUUGACCCCCUCAGUGCCGGAGCUAACGCAUUAAGUGAACCGCCUGGGGAGUACGGUCGCAAGACUAAAACUCAAAGGAAUUG
rnacentral:rRNA from 1 species